UAUAGAUGGAUCCGCGCUGCAUUAGCUAGUUGGUAAGGUAACGGCUUACCAAGGCAACGAUGCAUAGCCGACCUGAGAGGGUGAUCGGCCACACUGGAACUGAGACACGGUCCAGACUCCUACGGGAGGCAGCAGUAGGGAAUCUUCCGCAAUGGGCGAAAGCCUGACGGAGCAACGCCGCGUGAGUGAUGAAGGUCUUCGGAUCGUAAAACUCUGUUAUUAGGGAAGAACAUAUGUGUAAGUAACUGUGCACAUCUUGACGGUACCUAAUCAGAAAGCCACGGCUAACUACGUGCCAGCAGCCGCGGUAAUACGUAGGUGGCAAGCGUUAUCCGGAAUUAUUGGGCGUAA
rnacentral:rRNA from 1 species